rnacentral:pre_miRNA from 1 species
UAGCCAAUGCUGGGUGAUAGCCAAUGCUGGGUGAUAGCCAAUGCUUGGGGAUAGAUUCUAGUCUUUAUCAUUUCAUUACAGCUAUCAAACAGCAAUGGCUAUCACCCAGCAUUGGCUAUCAGCCAGCAU